CUCUUAUCUAGAGAGGUGGAGGGAUAUGGCCCGAUGAAACCUCAGCAACCGCAGGUGCAGCCUGAAAGGUGCUAAUUCCAUCAAAGCUUUGCGAAGCUUUGAAAGAUGAGAG
rnacentral:ncRNA from 1 species